rnacentral:rRNA from 1 species
AUUGAACGCUGGCGGAAUGCUUUACACAUGCAAGUCGAACGGCAGCACGGGGCAACCUGGUGGCGAGUGGCGAACGGGUGAGUAAUACAUCGGAACGUGCCCAAUCGUGGGGGAUAACGUAGCGAAAGUUACGCUAAUACCGCAUACGAUCUACGGAUGAAAGCGGGGGAUCGCAAGACCUCGCGCGAGUGGAGCGGCCGAUGUCAGAUUAGGUAGUUGGUGGGGUAAAGGCUCACCAAGCCAACGAUCUGUAGCUGGUCUGAGAGGACGACCAGCCACACUGGAACUGAGACACGGUCCAGACUCCUACGGGAGGCAGCAGUGGGGAAUAUUGCACAAUGGGCGAAAGCCUGAUGCAGCGACGCCGCGUGAGGGACGACGGCCUUCGGUUGUAACCGUACUUUCUAGCAGGGACGAAGCGAAAGUAGACUGUACCUGCAAAGAAG